AUUGAACGCUGGCGGCAUGCCUUACACAUGCAAGUCGAACGGCAGCACGGGAGCAAUCCUGGUGGCGAGUGGCGAACGGGUGAGUAAAGUAUCGGAACGUACCUUUCAGUGGGGGAUAACGUAGCGAAAGUUACGCUAAUACCGCAUAUUCUGUGAGCAGGAAAGCAGGGGAUCGCAAGACCUUGCGCUGAUGGAGCGGCCGAUAUCAGAUUAGCUAGUUGGUGAGGUAAAGGCUCACCAAGGCGACGAUCUGUAGCGGGUCUGAGAGGAUGAUCCGCCACACUGGGACUGAGACACGGCCCAGACUCCUACGGGAGGCAGCAGUGGGGAAUUUUGGACAAUGGGCGCAAGCCUGAUCCAGCAAUGCCGCGUGCAGGAAGAAGGC
rnacentral:rRNA from 1 species